GGUGUGUGUUAGUGCUCGUGAGACGACAUAUACGCAUUCUUAUAUAUGUAGAGACACACAAGGAUAUAUGGACUGUUGUAUAAAUCUAUCUUCAAACGCUGGAGAUGUACUACGAUGUCAGCUGUUCACUACCAGUGAACUAAGGUUGUACAAUAUUGCUGUUCCAUAUGGAAAACAAUUAAAUUUUGGAAAAAUUAAAAGAAAAGAUUUUUAAAGGAUAUUUGCAUAGUGUU